rfam:Bradyrhizobium erythrophlei strain GAS478 genome assembly, contig: Ga0132009_11
UACCGGCAUUCCAACGCCGGCGCGGGCUACUGAAAAGGCUUGUCCUUCAUUGCCAGGUGUGCGGGCGGGAUCAUUCCCAACCAAUCCACGGCAGCACAGUCUGGUUUGAGUCUUGUGGCUUCGUUGCGCCUCCAAAGCGCGAUGUGGC